GAUGAGGGGCUGGAGACUUCAUCUUCAGAAGGAGAGAUGCCCUGAGGCUGAGGAGGGGAAGGAGAGAUGCCCUGAGGCUGACGAGGGGAAGGAGACUUCAUCUUCAGAAGGAGAGAUGCCCUGAGGCUGACGAGGGGAAGGAGAGAUGCCCUGAGGCUGACGAGGGGAAGGAGAGAUGCCCUGAGGCUGACGAGGGGAAGGAGAGAUCCCUGAGGCUGACGAGGGGCAGGAGACUUCAUCUUCAGAAGGAGAGAUGCGCUGAGGCUGACAAGGGGAAGGAGACUUCAUCUUCAGAAGGAGAGAUGCCCUGAGGCUGACAAGGGGAAGGAGACUUCAUCUUCAGAAGGCGAGAUGCCCUGAGGCUGAGGAGGGGAAGGAGAGAUGCCCUGAGGCUGACGAGGGGAAGGAGACUUCAUCUUCAGAAGGAGAGAUGCCCUGAGGCUGACGAGGGGAAGGAGAGAUGCCCUGAGGCUGACGAGGGGAAGGAGAGAUGCCCUGAGGCUGACGAGGGGAAGGAGAGAUCCCUGAGGCUGACGAGGGGCAGGAGACUUCAUCUUCAGAAGGAGAGAUGCGCUGAGGUUGACAAGGGGAUGGAGAGAUGUCCUGAGGCUGACCAGGGGAAGGAGAGAUACCCUGAGGCUGACCAGGGGAAGGAGAGAUACCCUGAGGCUGACGAGGGGAAGGAGACUUCAUCUUCAGAAGGAGAGAUGCCCUGAGGCUGACAAGGGGAAGGAGAGAUGCCCUGAGGCUGACGAGGGGAAGGAGACUUCAUCUUCAGAAGGAGAGAUGCCCUGAGGCUGACGAGGGGAAUUAGAGAUCCCCUGAGGCUGACGAGGGGCUGGAGACUUCAUCUUCAGAAGGAGAGAUGCGCUGAGGCUGACGAGGAGAAGUAGAGAUAACCUGAGGCUGAUGAGGGGAAGGAGAGGUGUCCCGAGCCUGACAAGGGAUAGGAGAGAUGCCCUGAGACUGACGAGGGGAAGUAAACUUCAUCUUCAGAAUGAGAGAUGCCCUGAGGCUGACGAGGGGAAGGAGACUUCAUCUUCAGAAGGAG
rnacentral:lncRNA from 1 species